rnacentral:rRNA from 1 species
UACGUAGGGGGCUAGCGUUACUGAGAAUCACUGGGUUUAAAGGGUGCGUAGGUGGCGCGUUAAGUCCGUUGUGAAAUCCCUGGGCUCAACCCAGGAAAUGCUUCGGAUACUGGCGUGCUUGAGGCUAGUAGGGGUCACUGGAACUGACGGUGGAGCGGUGAAAUGCGUAGAUAUCGUCAGGAACGCCAAUGGUGAAGACAGGUGACUGGGCUAGAUCUGACACUGAGGCACGAAAGCGUGGGGAGCGAACGGG